rnacentral:tRNA from 1 species
AGGGCUAUAGCUCAGUUGGUAGAGCACCUCGUGUCUACGGUUCGAGUCCGUAUAGCCCUA